UGAAGAGCAGCAGGAAGGCCCAGAGCUCCUGUUCCUGAACUCAGGUCCUGAUGGAGUUUAUCGUUUUCCCCAUAGUGAAGUGGAUGAAAGCAGCCCAAGUCUCAGAAGCUGGCUUCAAGGAUUAAACAGCUUUCACAUCCAGGUAUUUUCUCAUGAAGAUUCUUCCAGUUGGAAACUUACUAAGUUUCAUCAGAUCCUUCUCCUGGUUGUACCUUGGGGUUUACUGGACUUCAGUCAUCUGAGCAUUGAUCAAGCAUGUCUCUCGUCAGUAUCUCUAUUCCCAUCGUCUGCUGAGUCCUUGAAGGUAUCUAUGCUCUGAGGAUGGGAACCUUCGAAUGGCAAAUCGGCUACUGGGGCCAUCUUGUGCUUGCCCUGCAAAUGUUCAGAAGGCAGGGUCAUGACCCCACUCCAUCUUUCUCUGACCAGACAAGUCCUUAACUCUCUAAGCCUCUCCUGCCCACUCCAAUGGGUUGUUGGAAGAAGAUGAAAUCAUAGAGGGAGAAGACUCCAGAUGUUGAAGCACUGUGCAGACGGAGGGCAGUGUCCUGAUACAAUUUCGGAACCUUGGCUCACAGCAGGGCGAG